rnacentral:rRNA from 1 species
UACGAAGGGGACUAGCGUUGUUCGGAAUCACUGGGCGUAAAGCGCACGUAGGCGGAUGUGUCAGUCAGGGGUGAAAUCCCGGGGCUCAACCUCGGAACUGCCUUUGAUACAGCACGUCUCGAGUCCGGAAGAGGUGGGUGGAAUUCCUAGUGUAGAGGUGAAAUGCGCAGAUAUCGGGAGGAACACCAAUGGCGAAGGCAGCUCGCUGGGACGUUACUGACGCUGAGACGCGAAAGCGUGGGGAGCAAACAGG